rnacentral:rRNA from 1 species
CCUACGGGAGGCAGCAGUGAGGAAUAUUGGUCAAUGGGCGGGAGCCUGAACCAGCCAAGUCGCGUGAAGGAAGAAGGUACUUAGUAUUGUAAACUUCUUUUGUCGGGGAACAAAGGCGGAGACGCGUCUCCGGAUGAGUGUACCCGAAGAAAAAGCAUCGGCUAACUCCGUGCCAGCAGCCGCGGUAAUACGGAGGAUCCGAGCGUUAUCCGGAUUUAUUGGGUUUAAAGGGAGCGUAGAUGGGUUGUUAAGUCAGUUGUGAAAGUUUGCGGCUCAACCGUAAAAUUGCAAUUGAUACUGGCAGUCUUGAGUACAGUUGAGGUAGGCGGAAUUCGUGGUGUAGCGGUGAAAUGCUUAGAUAUCACGAAGAACCCCGAUUGCGAAGGCAGCUUACUAAACUGUGACUGACAUUGAUGCUCGAAAGUGUGGGUAUCAAACAGGAUUAGAUACCCGGGUAGUC